CUCCGAUUAUAACUCCAUGAGCACAUUUACUUUCCCUCUCUCUUUCUCUCGCGGUUUCUCUCUUGAAUGUUAUUUUCCUUUAUUUUCCUGGAAAAUUCAGGCCUAAGGCCUGAGCGCAGACAACUGUGUCAGAGGUGAACCAGAUAACCAUUCAUUGCGUACAGAUACAGAGAAAGAAAGAUGGAAGGAGAGAGAGUGUGGCAUUGAGAUUUGCGACGAGCGAGAGAGAGAGAGAGAAGAUCUCGAGCAGAUCAGGGUGAUUUAAAGCAGAGGCGGCGAGAAUUUAUUGAUAUGAUAUGAGAGCUUUUUAGAGUGAGAGAACGUCUUUCUGUAACUCCAAUCUCACCCUUCUCCACUACCCUUCUCUUUCUUUCCUCCUUUCAUCCCAUUUGGCCAUUUCUCUCUGAAGCCGUAUCAUAUUUCCAUACUCUGACACCAUUGCUCUUUCCCUCCAAACAAGGCUGAUUUUAUUUUUUCCCAAGUGUAAUUAUUACUUCUCUCUAAUUUUUUCUUGCAUCUACUU
rnacentral:misc_RNA from 1 species